rnacentral:sRNA from 1 species
GAUCAUUAUCGAAUUCCAAGGGGGAGGGAAGAUGGGGAAGUGUAGAGAUUGUUGCUGGCCCCCUCUUAAUGGGGGGGGGGCAUGUGCACGUCUUCCUUUUCCAUUCACCUUUCUCUUGCAACACAACCAACCCUUGUGCACCUAUUGUAGGUCCUCGAAAGAGGAUCUAUGUCUUUUCACAUCCCACACCUAUUGCAUGUCCAUAGAAUGUAUUAUAAUAAAUCAUACAACUUUCAGCAACGGAUCUCUUGGCUCUCGCAUCGAUGAAGAACGCAGCGAAUUGCGAUAAGUAAUGUGAAUUGCAGAUUUUCAGUGAAUCAUCGAAUCUUUGAACGCACCUUGCGCUCCUUGGUAUUCCGAGGAGCAUGCCUGUUUGAGUGUCAUUGAAUUCUCAACCAUGUCUUGAAGACAUUGGCUUUGGAGUUGGGUGUUGCUGGCGGCGACAAGCUUGUCAGCUCUCCUGAAAUGCAUUAGCAAAAGGGCUUGCAAGUCUUUUGACGUGCACGGCCUUCGACGUGAUAAUGAUCGUCGUGGCUGGAGCGGUCAAGGACAUGCAUUCGGAAUGGUCCUUGUGCUUCUAAUCCACCUGCCCACAAUGGGCCAGCUUACUAGCUAGUCUAGUCUAGUUUGGUCGAU